UACGAACCGUCCAAACGUUAUUCGGAAUCACUGGGCUUAAAGAGUUUGUAGGCGGCUCAGUAAGUAGGGUGUGAAAUCCCACGGCUCAACCGUGGAACUGCGCCCUAAACUACUGAGCUUGAGGGAGCUAGAGGUAAGCGGAACAGAUGGUGGAGCGGUGAAAUGCGUUGAUAUUAUCUGGAACACCGGAGGCGAAGGCGGCUUACUGGGGCUUUUCUGACGCUGAGAAACGAAAGCUAGGGUAGCGAACGGG
rnacentral:rRNA from 1 species